AAUACUCUGUCUUUAUUAUACGCCUCAGCCAGAACAAAAAUCUUGAGUUUGAAGAGUCAUAUGAUCGAGUACAUACACAAGUCACCAACAAAUUAGCAGAAAAUGAGCAUCCUCACUGACUCAAAAACUCGCUAAAACCUAGCUUGUUGAGUCCAAAGCUCAGUUAUUUUUUUAACAUUAAUGUGGUUCCUGUAGUAGCGAUUUAAUGUGGCAAAAUUAUGAAAGAUUAAUUGACCUUCAUGGAAUGGAACUCGUUUAUUUAUUUUUCUUGUGGGGGGC
rnacentral:lncRNA from 1 species